UCAUAAAGGGCUUCAUGCUAUUUUAUUGAGUGAUUGUAUCACAGUUAAAUGAAUUAAUCUUUCCUUGAUGGAAAUUUAGUCUGUUUCCAAUUUUUCAUUAUUAUAAACAACUUUGAGAUAACCAGUCGUGCAUAUGCCUCUUUGUGCUUGUGUCCAAUUACAGCAUAAGGAUAAAGUGUCAAAAGGAUUGCAGUAGUGGGGUUUGAGCCACAUAGCUACAUCACUCUCCAAAAUUUAUCAUAAUCCACUUGCUAAUUAAGGGGCAGGGGGAAGCACCUGUUUUCCCCACUUUCAUCCACUUGGUAACAUCAAACUUUGAAACGUGGCCCACGGAACAGCAAAGAGAGAUCACACGGUGAUUUCAUUUGCAUUUUUUAUCGCUUUUGUUAUUGACCUUCCUUCACACGUCUCCUGACCCCUGGCUGCUUUUUCUCUUUUGUGAAUAAUCUAUUUGUAUCUUUUGACAGUUCUUCUGUUGGGAAGUUUGUUUUGUUCAUACUCAUUUGCAGGAAAAGCUUGUCCUUCUCUUUCUAUGUUUGUCAGGUUUCUGUAGGUUUUUUGUGGGUUUUUUUUGGCCAGUGAAAAGUACUUCAAAACUGACAUAACUUCCAAGCCCUGGAAUUUAAGUCGUCUUUGGGGGGUUUAGGAGUGUGUCCUCUCCACCUUGGACUUGUCAGGAAGCAACACAUUUCCAGAAGUAUCCUGGUGAGCACAGCGCUGCUCCUCUAGGAAGGCUGAGAGGUGAUUAUACAAGGAAAGGGGAGACACAGGGAGAGUAGCCAAGAGACGUAACAGUGGUAAAACGUUUUGCAAAUAGAAAUACGUCUCAGAAGGAUACAUGGCAACAGUGCCAACUCAGUGAGGCAAUUAAAUGUCGGGGCUAUUUAUACGGCUCAGGUGGGGAGAUCAGGGAAUAGAUUCAGACUUCGGAAGAGCUAAGAGAUUGAAGGAACUUGGCCAGGGUGUGUGUGUGGGGGUCAUGCUGACUUGUGAAGAGGGCAGAGCCAGACAGAGGCCAAGCCUAGGGCGGUGCUGGCUCCCCCACCCUGCAUUACCAUCCUAGAAGGUCUCUGGUGGAUGGGGUGGGGGUACCCGGGGCUGGGAGUUUGGUGCUGGGCUCCUGGAAUAGCUUCAUGGAUGCUUGCUCUGUGCCAGGCACUGUCCUGGGUGCCAAGGGCUCCAAGGACAGAGAAGUGUCCUUAUGUUUCAGGAGGGUGGGCUUAGCUUUGUGAAGCUCAGCUCUCAAAUCCCACGCAGGGAGGCAGAAAGAUGUUAUGGCCAAUUCCCAAGGAUACUUCUAUGAACUAGGUACCACCUGUAGAUAAAAUAAUUUCCAGUCUGUAUCCGUGUUGCUCUUGUUCCAUGUGAAUAUAUGCUGUUGGGGCGAUGCAUUACACAUUGAAGGAUCUAUGUGUUCAAGUCAUACUGUAUUUUCUCACAUCUCUCACUCUCCUGUGGGGAUCAUGAGCUGACUUAGAUCCUCAGGUCAUUCUGACUCAGGGGAAUGUUAAGACUCAGCCUAGACCUUGGUGGGUAGGGUCAUGCUGGUUGGUGGAGGGGGAAACCUCUGUGGCUUUAGCAGUGAAAUCUGACAAGGAUUUCUUAACAGGGGAGGGACAUCCAGGAUGCUAGCUGAGCAUGGACAGUGGGGAGGCACAGUGGACAGAUCCCCUGCUGUGGUCCCAAGAAGCCAGUCCUCCAUCUCUUA
rnacentral:lncRNA from 1 species